CCAAGUGUGACCCAGUGGGGAGGGGGAGGGGGAACAUCCCAGAAGACGUUCAGGCUGACAGGAUGUGCAGGCCAGUGUGACCAAGGCGCUUCCUCCCUUCCCCUGCUUGGGGGAUGUGGUAUCACAGUGUGAGGCCGGCAAGAGGGGCAUCUGCAUUUGCCAUCUGCAACCACACGGGGCGCACGUGAGCUGCCAGAGGGGAUGCUACGGAGAGAAUGAAGACGGAGCCGAUUCCCCCGAAGGGACACUGGCCAGAGAUGGUCACGGAGACUGGGAAAGAGAGUUCGCAUAGUCUCAAAGGAGAGGGAACCUAAGACCACGUGACCCUGGCCCCCGCUAAAUGCCAUCCGUGGUUCCUGUGGACAGAUGCAGAUGGCUACUGAAGCCCACAAAGACGAAAGCACAGACCGAGGGAGACUGCGUGAACUGAUGGACACCCUUUGUGCAUAAGCUAUUUUGAGUUGGUAUUUCUGUUACUUGAAACAAACCAGACAAAAUAAUACUCUUGGGCUGAAGCAGUCGUGAAGUCCAGGAUGGAAUGCAGAAUUUAAGUGCCAGGAACGGAAAAAGGAGUUCCUUGGGGCUUAAUCCUUGCCCUAGGAGAUGGAACAUGGGUUCCAUGAGCUCCUAGCCAGCUCAGCAGUCUGGCCAUGCAUCACAAUGGCAGGUACGAUGAUGCUGAUUAAGAUUCAGGCAUAGAUGCCUAUUUUCCAAAUGAGAACUUUUCUCCUCUUUUAUGCGUGCUCAUCCACAGACUUGAAAAAAUGUUUCACACACAGAUAUGAAAAUUCAUUGAGUAUGUGGUAUCAGUACUGAAGCAACACAGCUCGGGUUCAUUAAUUAGAAUUUUGAAAAAAAUAAUGAUUUUUUUUUUUCUAAUAAUGAUCAGGAUGGUGCUGUUUUCCAAGGGACUAAAUUCUAUCAACUUUAUCUUGAACCGAGGAAUAAAAGGUAUAUUCUGAACACACAUGUAUCCCACCCCCAGCUUUAUAUAAAAUUAAGGUAAACUUCUCUUGAUAAAACAGUUCAUCUUUUGUUCACAAUUUCCAGAAGCAAAUAAAAUUAAUGAUGGCCAGUUAAGUGGCAGCUG